rnacentral:piRNA from 1 species
UCACUAGAAGUUGUACUUGCCCGGGGAG